AUGCAAUUGUGUCCUCAGAGUGUCCCUGCCUGGCGUGGUGGCCCCAAGCUCCCGUCCAAGGCCUGUAAGUUCUCAUCCAUGCUUGUGGCCAAGGCUUACAGAGCUGUGGGUCAGGCCACUUCUGCUUUGCACACCAUGGCCACCCUUCAGGUCUACCAGGCCGAGGUGCUCAAGGAGCUGCACGAGGGCAGUGAUGACUCAGAGGUCUUGCAGCACUGCUACCGACCUCACCCUUGGGCGACGAAGGUAACUGCAUGCUCCCUGGGUCAGGUGAAGUCCACUUUGGUGGUCCAGGAGUGCCACCUAUGGCUGAACCUGGCAGACAUGAGGGAGUCUGAUCGGACUCAGCUCCUCAACUCCCCAAUCUCCCAGGCUGGUCUCUUCGGCGACUCGGUGGAGAGUUUUGCCGCCCAUCAAGCACAUUCUGCCCUGGCGGCAGCCAUAGCAGCAGCAGCCUCCACCCUGUUUCCUCUACCUCCGGGUCCCAAGAGGUCGCGGACGUCAAUAGGCAACGUGCUUCCUCGCCGCUCUCGUCCCCCUCUUUCCCUGCCAGUCUCCACACAGAGCCAGCUCGAGAAUGCACUGCUUUCUCACACCCUCUUUGCCAUAUCUCAGAAUAAGACGAGUGCUUGCACUCCUCUCCCGCUAAGGGACGCUAUGCCUCCCAUGCCGGGGCCGUUUUUUUCCGCCUCACUGCCCCACUGUGGGUACGUAUGUAGUUCCUUUGACCCCGCAGCCCGUCCCGCUGGAUCAUCUGAAUGAUCAGCCUCGGCUACGCAAUUCAGUUCGCCCGGUGUCCCCCCAGGUUUUGUGGUGUUCGCGCAAUGAUGGUGGGCAAGGAUGCUCCUGUCAUGCGCGCGGAGGUCGCAACCCUGCUGGCAAAGGAAGCAAUAGAGGUGGUCCCUCCAGCCAACAUGAAGUCCGGCUUCUACAGCCCCUACUUCAUAGUACCCAAGUGGGUUACGGCCAGUCCUGGACUUGCGUGCCUUGAACCGAGCUCCUCACAGAUUCCAUUCAAGAUGCUUAUGCCCAAGCGCAUUUUCAAAUGCAUUCGUCUGUUGGAUGGCUUUGCAGUGAUCGACCUGAAGGAUGCGUACUUUUAUGUCUCCAUUCUUCCUUGACACAGACCAUUUCUUCGGUUUGCUUUCGAGGGGCAUGCAUAUCAGUACAAGGUUCUCCCAUUCUGGUUGGCCCUGUCUCCCCACGUCUAUACGAAAGUCGCGGAGGGAGCUCUGGCUCCUCUCAGGGAACGAGGUGUCCGUAUCCUCAACUACCUCGACUGAUUUCUAGCUCACUCUCGAGCACGGUUGUGCGAGCACAGCGAUCUUGUGCUUAGAUACCUCGCCCGUCUGGGUCUUCGGGUCAACUGGGAAAACAGCAAACUCUCCCAUGUGCAGAGGAUCUCUUUUCCUGGUAUGGAAAUAGACUCAGUUGCUAUGUUCAUGCAGCUUACGAGCGAGUCAUACCGCUCGGGUUGCUUCAUAUCAGACCGCUUCAGCUCUGGCUUCACGGCCGAGUCCCGAGAUGGCCAUGGAUCAUCACUGCAACCUGCCGCCAACCCUUCACCCUGUGGUUGGACCUCUCAUUUCUACGGGCUGGUGUUCCCCUAGAACCAGUGUCCAGGCAUGUUGUUGUGUCAACAGAUGCUUCUGCAAUGGGCUGGGGUGCCAUGUGCAAUGGACAUGCUGCGUCAGGCUCCUGGACAUGACUCCGACUUCAGUGGCAUGUCAAUUUCCUCGAGUUGCUGGCAGUAUGGCUUGCUCUGCACUGCUUCAAGGCCCUGCUGAUGGAUAAGCACGUACUGGUCCGUACGGACAACACUGCAACCAUAGCAUACAUCAACCGUCAGGGCAGUCUAUGGUCCCGUCUCAUGUCGCAACUCGCAACUCGCAACUCGCUCACCAUCACCACUUGUGGAGUCAGAAGCAUUUGAGGUUGCUUCGUGCCAUUCACAUCUGCAGGCAUUUUCAGUUGACGAAGCAUGCCUGGAAUUCGGGCCGGCCAACUCUCACGUUAUCUUGAGGCCCCGGCCUGCAUACAUGCCCAAAGUUCCCACCACUCCUUUUAGAGAUCAGGUGGUGAACUUGCAAGCGCUGCCCCGGAGAAGGCAGACCCAGCCCUGGCGCUGCUCUGUCCAGUACGCGCGCUCUGCACCUAUGUAAACAGAACUCAGUGCUUCAGGACCUCAGACCAGCUCUUUGUUUGUUACGGAGGCCAGCAGAAGGGAAAGGCUGUGUCCAUGCAGAGGUUAUCCCACUGGAUAGUGGAUGCUAUUGUCUUGGCUUAUCAGGCUCAAGACCUGCCGUGCCCCCUAGGGGUGAGGGCCCACUCAAUUAGGAGUGUGUCUUCCUCCCGGUCGCUGGCGCAUGGCGCCUCACUAACAGACAUCUGUAGAGCUGCGGGCUGGGCGACACCUAACAUGUUUGCGAGAUUCUAUAAUCUCCAUGUAGAGCCUGUGUCCCCGUGGGUACUUGCCCCUUCAGGCCAGUAACAGGACCUGCUCGUGUCAAUCCGCUUGCUGCGCCAUUCCACUCCACGGACUGGAUGCAUGUGCUAUUCCUCAGUUCAGAACCCUGGGUUCCUCCAGCACUGUUGAUGUCCAGCACUUGCAUGCAUGCCCUAUCGGUCAUCCCCCGUGUUUCGGACUAGGUGCCUCCAUGUGUUGUGAUUCCCCCUUUUUUGGGCAAUCCCAUGCAUGUAUUUCCACAGUAAGUAUCUCGGUAGCAUGUGUCUUUCCCUUGCCAAGCCACCCUUGCCGUCUCUGUCGUUGAAAUAUUCCACCCUGCAGGCUGGGUACCUCAGAGAUUUAUGUGUAUCACCGCCAUGCGCUUGGUACAUGCCCUUGUAAGUCCUCCUACGAGCAGGCAGCCUGCUAGCAUGCGUCCAGCUGGAAUAUGCUACCCAGUGCAUUCUGUGUAUGGUAUAGGCCCUCACUUGUGCUGGCCUCAUGACAGGGUGCUAUCAUUUACACGGUCACUGGAAGACAGCCAUUUGGCAUUUUGUAAGGGACCCCAUUUGUCAAUCUCUUUCUGAUGUAAUGUCGAAUGUGACCGACUGCUAGGGGAACGUCUAGGUUACGUAUGUAACCCUCAUUCCCUGAAGGAGGCAACAGAGACGUUACAUCCCUUUGCCACAUCGCUGUUCCUCAGUGAAGACUUGAAUUCGAGUUGCUCACGCUGCUCAUUAUAUAUGAGUUUGCGAUCCCGCAGACCAAGGUACACUGUGUUUUGUUACCACUCAAAGGUGAUUGGGCUCUCGGGCGAGACCCCAUUCGUCAGUCUCUUUCUGACAUAACGUCUCCGUUCCCUACUUCAGGGAACAAGGAUUACAUACGUAACCUAGAUGAUUCUGGUUUAAACCUGUUUUGUUCACUGUGACUAAAAGCAAACACACACAUGUUUGUUUUUGUGAAAAGUGGGGACAUUCCAUAGGUGUAAUGGUUUUUAUACUGUACAAACUGUAUAUUCUAUCGCCCUAAACCAUCCCUACACCUAACCCUACCCCUUACAGGAAACUUUUUGCAUUUUUACUUUCUCAAAAAAAAAAAAAAACUCAUUCUGUAUGGUUUAUAAGCGUUUUGAAAAAUGGGGACAUGGGUUAUGUCCUCAUAAGUCACCCUCUCCUUGUAAUACCUGUGUCAUACCCAUGUCAUUAUACAAAGUUGUGUCCUGAUAUGUCACAAAAACACGCACCAGUAUACACACACACACACACACACACACACACACACACACACACACACACACAUAUACAUACAUACACCUAAAUUAUGUGAUAUAGAUAGAUAGAUAGAUAGAUAGAUAGAUAGAUAGAUAGAUAGAUAGAUAGAUAGAUAGAUAGAUAGAUAGAUAGAUAGAUAGAUUUCUCAUUACCACUGCAGAGUCAUGAGUUUCAAUCAGGAUCUGGAAAGCACAGCAAGGUCAAUAUACUUUCCAGCACAUGCUGACUUUUGUCCUCUGGAGAUGAUUAGAAUGAAACAUAUGGCUAGUUCUUCAAGUCCCCUAUCACACUACACACAUUUUUUUUUUUUUUUGCAUUUGUACUUUGAUUUUAAAGGACAUGUGAUGUAAUAACAGGAAUGUUGCUGAACUGCUUUUAAACUGUUGGUUUAAAUGUAUUUUGGAUUAGCAGUGACAGGUUCUGCUCAGAGCUAUUUCCUCAUUGCUGUUCUCCGCCACUGGCCCAUUUACAGUGUCUCUCAUCUGAUGAGAAUAAAAUGUAGUGACCCCUCAUCAACUUACUGCUGGAAAUACCUACGUUUCUUUCUCACACACCCUCUCUCUGAACUCUAAUCAUUCAGACAUGAUAAAUGGAGUGGAAAGAUCAGUCAUUCCAUUCUCAGGUCAAAAUAUUACUUUUCAUUUUCCCCUGAGUGAAAAAGUGAAUGUGUACACAGAUAAGGCAGAAGAGCUGAGAAAACUGCAGAGACAGACAGCAGUCAAGGAAGAAUGGAAGAAAAUAAACAGAAAGUAACAAACAAAGAGAAAAUGGCAGGAGUUUUAAUAGAACAAAAGCAGUCAGGAAGACCAAGAGUGUGUUAAUGACAGAUGAAGGGGGACGUAUUAAUAAUGGAGAGUAGAGUGGAAUAGAGUUUUACUUAUUCAGGACUCACUCCCCUCUUAUCUUUCUCACACCUUCAUACUAGAGUAACAGAGUCAGAACAGAACAAGCUAUUCAGAAACCAGAUUUUUUUUCUUUUUUUUUUUUUUUUAGAUAUUGUGUAGAAAUUUUGCUGCUUGUUGGCAUGAUUUUAAGGUAAUUUGAGUGGUUGCCAGGGUGAUGACAAGUUAAGUCAAAUUUAUUUGUUUAGCACUUUUCACAAUACAUAUUGUUUCAAAGCAACUUUAUAGAAAAUCAUGAUGUUAAUGUUCAUAAUAUCUUAAUGCAUUACAGUCCCAUUUAGCACAUUUGUGCUGCUAUAGUGUUCUCGGUGGUCGCUUACUAGCCCAAGUCAAGAGAUCCCACCUCCAAGUCACUCGGAUAGGUUAUUCUAGAUAUGGUGCUAUUUAAGUCAUAGGAUGUUUUUCAUCCAUUUUCCACCAUUUAAAAAAAAAAAAAAAAACAUGUCUAAUUACAUAUAUAUGUAGGGAUAAGUAAUAGCACACAUUUCAUAAAGUUGCAUGAUUUUUUGUGGCUUUCAUUCACAAAAGAGAACCGUUUAAUCUCUAACUCAAGUCUGAGUAACUGCAUUCCUGUAGCUUAAGUUAUAGAGCAUAAUGCCG
ensembl:lncRNA